AUAAUUCUCAUCUGUUAUGAGGUCCAUCAUCAGGUCCCCAAACAUCUCAAUCCUCCCAGAUCUAGGGCAGUCGGGAUAGUCCGACUCCCAUCUUGUACCACCGGCCUACGUCGUCGCCAGCCGUGGCCGCUGCCACGCCGGCGAUGAUGGCCGGUCCCGGUAAAGAGACCAACAUAAAGGAAUGAUUCCUCUCUCUUCAUGGUUGGGAGUACAUCUCCCUUCUUCAAAUCUCUUUGGUCUAAGGGUAAUAGCCAUGGUGGCUGUGCCCUUUCCUUCCUCAACCCGACAACACCACAGCCACCACUAGCCACAUCAUCGCCGGCCAAGAGAAGGAGGGAAGAAGAGAUAUCUUCUUCUUCUUCUUCUUAUUCCCCCAAGAAUCGG
rnacentral:lncRNA from 1 species